GGCAGAUACUUAGAACUGCGGGUUCAGAUGUAGUCAUCCAGUGGGGAGUAAGCUGUUACUGCCCUGUUCCGGCUCAGAGACUUUAAGCAAAUGGGCCCAGCUCUUUCAGCCACUUCAGAGGAGCUCGGAUUGGAGCCAGUCACUUGGCCGCAGGGCAGGCAUGGGUGUGGGCCUUACUCACCGUGCGGAACUGCCUGGCCCUGUGCCUUCCCUGCGGCGGCGGCGCAACCCCCAGAGCUGGUCAGGGCAGGCCACCCUUCCUGAGAGGCUGGGGAGAAGGUCGGGGAGGGGGAGGAGGGUACGACCUGGAGGCAGUGGCUUCGAGGCCUUCUGGCAGAGGAAAGGAACAGUGUGGCCACAGGUAUGGAGAGCAGAACAGCCCAGCCACCAGCAGCGCAGAGAGCAGCGCUGCGAGACGGGGGCAGGGAGGGCAGGGGAACCUUCUAGACCUUGGGCAGUAGGCUGCUUACCUUUCACCCUGUGGCCACCUCAGGCCAGCGAAGGAUUUCUGUGCGGCAGCGACAGGGAGCCAUCGAGAGUGCUGGCGAGAGAGCGGCAGCCCCCUCCACGAUCCGUGCGACCACCAGAAAACCAACAGCCGUAGGAGGCGGCUCUUAGCCCAGCUCUGCAAAGACUUCUGCUUUGGGAGUGUUAGUGACAAGCCUCAUUCUCCUCCCUGGGGGCUCCCACCGUUUGAAUCCUGGGGUUCCAGGAGUGCUCAGCUCUUGCCUCCGGGGAUUUCUUCCAAGCUGCUGACUCCCUUUCUGCAGGGUGUGAUGCUUCUGAAGUGUGGGCACAUGCAGGCAGUGACAGCUACGUGAGGACUGCAGCCAGCCAGAAAGCCACUCUACGAGGUAACCUGACUUCCGAGACUUAAACGUGAGCAAUCAAGUGUCUUGGAAUCAAUGGCACAUGAAUAAUUCCUGAACUUUGCGCUGGCCGGGCUUCUAGCUGCUGCAGAGCCCUUGCACAUUCUGUCUCUGCUCUCUCCCCGCCUCCCCACUUUGUCUACUUAACCCAGCCCCCCCCUCUCCCCACCUCAGCUUCCUCCAGGAGCCCCCUCUGGGAUGCCUUGCCUGGCCCUCCCAGGAAAUCUGUCUCUUCGCUGUCUACGCACAUAGGAUGGCUGCAAUGCUACAUUUUGAGCACGUGUGUGAUUGGGGGGGGGGGGGCGGCCGCCUCCCCAGUGUACUGGGAGGCCCACGGGUGCGGGAACUAUGUGGCUUUUGCACCAUGGCAUCACGGGGCACUGUCCGGCUCCGAGCGGGUGAAUGACAGAAUGAAUCUGGAGGCUCCGUAGUGAGCAGUGAGGGAGCUGGGGUGUCCUCCCGGACAAAUGUCUGUCUGAGACAUUUGCUGCUGGCCUCGGCUGUACGCGUCUGCCCCCAGUCCCCCAGAGGCCGGAGUCCAAGCCAUUUCUUUUACAGCCGGGAAACUGAGGCCCGUCGGGUCGCAGAGCCACGGCCCAGGGUCCUGGCUCAGUGCAGGGUGCACAGAGAAUGGGGGAGGGUGGGGUCAGAGGAGGGGUUCUCGCUUCUGGCUGGGGUGCAGAGGAGACUUACUGGGGCGGUAGCAUCUGCCACCGGCUUCCCAGAGGCCCUGGG
rnacentral:lncRNA from 1 species